UUUAAUGCAGUUCCUAGCCAGGAAUCUGUUAAAACUUCAAUUUCUGCUCUUAAUCUCUGCAGUGCUUCCUUCCUCUGGGGACUGAGGAGACCUUUAGGAGUAAAAGCAGACACAUUUAUCAUUUGACAACAUAUAUUUGCUGAUACUGAGAAAGCAACUUCUAAACUCAAUUUAAAAAGUACUGGUCGACCACACUUUGAAUUGCACUGCUUAGAAUAUGACAUCAAGAACCAAAGUGCGAAAAAUUAGUGUUACAGCUAGAAGAGUCCUCAGCAUUUCUAAUCUCUCUGUAAAGAAACCAAACUCAACGAAAACAAGGACCCUAAGAUUACACAAUUUCUCUCACUUUCCGGUAGCGGAAAGCUAGUUUCCUCAUCCAGUCCACACCUCCCUGAACACCCACAGAUGAACCAUGGCUGCCACUACCUCCUGAGCCACUGAAACCAUCUGUUGAGAAACUGUAGUUGCUGCAAGGAGAGAAGAUAAUAAAAAUUAAAAUUUAUACAGCAU